rnacentral:rRNA from 1 species
UGUGCGCAAGUCACUGGGAUAGACUAAACCCAGAGGCGCAGUGAAAGCGUUGGGGCUCGCAUCGACGGUAAUUUAUUGCCGCUUGCGAGCCCGCAGAAGGGAAGACGGCCUGCCGUACCCGACCGGUGCGGCRGGUCAGCACUCCCGGGGCGCCUCGGCUUCGGCCGCAGGCGCACCCUGAGCGCACACGUUGGGACCCGAAAGAUGGUGAACUAUGCCCGGCCAGGACGAAGUCAGGGGAAACCCUGAUGGAGGUCCGCAGCGAUUCUGACGUGCAAAUCGAUCGUCAGAGCUAGGUAUAGGGGCGAAAGACUAAUCGAACCAUCUAGUAGCU